GCUGGCAGCUAGCUCUCUGCAACUCUCACAUGGCCGCCCACUGAAGCUAAACAGGGCUGUGCCCGGUCAGUACCUAAAUGGGAGACCACAUGGGAAAGCUAGGUUGCUGCCGGAA
rfam:Danio rerio chromosome 4, GRCz11 reference primary assembly.